CGUCCUCAAAAUCUCCAAUAGUACAAGAGAGAUAAUCACACCAACUUUAAAGUCAUCUCAUUGAGAGUAUCUAGACAAAGGAACAUGGCAAGAUAACACUCGUCUGAAGCCAGUGAUGAUUCUGGCUACCGCCGUUAAGAUGUUUAAUUCAAAGAUUAUAUGUAUAUGCCAGGAGCUCCUCAGGAGCCAAAUGUAACAGGAAGCCAGAAGAGACAGGGUCCAAUGACAGAGUCCGUGUUGAUCUCCUCAGGCAGAAGGCAGGGUGCAGAGUGAGCCCAGAGAAACAGAUGGAAGACAGGCCACAUGAAGACCUAUGCUGGAAAGAUCCAACUCAUGCUAAGGAGACCUACCUUCUGAUUGCCCUGGUGGGUCAUUAGCAGAGAAAUGAAUUCACAUGAAGCAAUUCUAUAAAGGAGAGCAGUGGAGGUGAAAAUAUCACAGAAAAGGAGAGCAAUUUGACUAGUAAACUCAUCGAGUUGAGACAAAUGUGAAAACUCAUUACAACCUGAAUUUCUCACCCAGCUCAGUUUCUCCUCUCUUUUAAACUUUCUAAUAGAAAAAGUUGAGUUCCCAUUAUUGCCACCUCCACUGUUUGCCCUCACUU